UACGUAAGAGACUAGUGUUAUUCAUCUUAAUUAGGUUUAAAGGGUACCCAAACGGUCAUAGUAAGUACUUGACUAGAGUUAUAUAUAAGAGAGCAGUACUUUAGGUGGAGAGAUGAAAUUUAUUUAUACCAAAAGGACUCGGUGAAGGCGAAGGCGGCUCUCUAUGUAAUAACUGACGUUGAAGGACGAAGGCAUAGAGCACAAAAAGG
rnacentral:rRNA from 1 species